rfam:Pteropus alecto contig105376, whole genome shotgun sequence.
CGCUCCAUAGCGUAGUGGUUAGCACAUCUGCUUUACACUCAGAAGGUCCUAGGUUUGCACUCCAGGUGGAGCCA